AGCAGCCGCGGUAAUUCCAGCUCCAAUAGCGUAUAUUAAAGUUGCUGCAGUUAAAAGCUCGUAGUUGAAUUUCGGGAUCAAUACGUCGGUCGUGCUUCGGUACGUACUGGCGUCAUUGAUUUCUCCCUUCUGACGAACCAUGAUGUCAUUAACUUGGUGUCAUGGGAAAUCAGGACUGUUACUUUGAAAAAUUAGAGUGUUUAAAAGCAGGCUCACGCUUGAAUACAUUAGCAUGGAAUAAUGAAAUAGGACGUUCGAUCCUAUUUUUGUUGGUUUCUAGGAUCAACGUAAUGAUUAAUAGGGAUAGUUGGGGCAUUAGUAUUCAA
rnacentral:rRNA from 1 species